ACGAACGCUGGCGGCGUGCUUAACACAUGCAGGUCGAACGGAAAGGCCUCUUUCGGGGGGUACUCGAGUGGCGAACGGGUGAGUAACACGUGAGUAACCUGCCCUUGACUUUGGGAUAACUUCAGGAAACUGGGGCUAAUACCGGAUAGGAGCUCCUGCUGCAUGGUGGGGGUUGGAAAGUUUCGGCGGUUGGGGAUGGACUCGCGGCUUAUCAGCUUGUUGGUGGGGUAGUGGCUUACCAAGGCUUUGACGGGUAGCCGGCCUGAGAGGGUGACCGGCCACAUUGGGACUGAGAUACGGCCCAGACUCCUACGGGAGGCAGCAGUGGGGAAUAUUGCACAAUGGGUGGAAGCCUGAUGCAGCAACGCCGUGUGCGGGAUGACGGCCUUCGGGUUGUAAACCGCUUUCGCUCAUGACGAAGCUUUGUGUGACGGUAGUGGGUAAAGAAGCACCGGCUAACUACGUG
rnacentral:rRNA from 1 species